UGCCAGACUCCUACGGGAGGCAGCAGUGGGGAAUAUUGCACAAUGGGGGAAACCCUGAUGCAGCAACGCCGCGUGAGUGAAGAAGUAUUUCGGUAUGUAAAGCUCUAUCAGCAGGGAAGAAAAUGACGGUACCUGAGUAAGAAGCCCCGGCUAACUACGUGCCAGCAGCCGCGGUAAUACGUAGGGGGCAAGCGUUAUCCGGAUUUACUGGGUGUAAAGGGAGCGUAGACGGCGAUGCAAGUCUGUAGUGAAAGCCCGGGGCUCAACCCCGGGACUGCUUUGGAAACUGUAUGGCUGGAGUGCUGGAGAGGCAAGCGGAAUUCCUAGUGUAGCGGUGAAAUGCGUAGAUAUUAGGAAGAACACCAGUGGCGAAGGCGGCUUGCUGGACAGUAACUGACGUUGAGGCUCGAAAGCGUGGGGAGCAAACAGGAUUAGAUACCCUUGUA
rnacentral:rRNA from 1 species